rnacentral:lncRNA from 1 species
GAAGCUAGCUGCCCAGUCAUGAGGAGGCAGAAGGUCUAGGAAGAAGCUCACCCAGAGGAGGAAAUAAAGUCUCCUGCCGACAGCCAGCUGCAACUUGUUCUGCAUGUGAGCAAGCCGUCAUAGCAGAGAUUCUUCUAGAACAAACCAAGGAGGCCAACCGAGUCGGUGCAAAUCAGAUGCUAACGGCAACCCCUCCGCCCAGAAAUCCCAAGUGGAAGGACGCCUCUCGUGAAAUUGCCUUCCGUGACAGUUACAGACAGCCUGAAGGGAAUACCUGUCCAGGUGAUACGGGACAAGAAAAACACCACGAUGUAAGCAUCGUUUCUACAGAUCUCACAACAGGCCCCAAGCCAACCCCGUUGGGAUUCGUAUCAUGCUUUGUUGCACCAGAUGAAGUCUGAUCUGGGACCGUGCCAGAAAACACGGAAGGAAGACGAGAAAGGGUGAAGAGCUUCUAAAUUAGAUUCUGCUGGGGCCAGGAAAGCAGACACGACUGCCGUGGAGAAGGUCAAUGCAAGCAUUUUAAAAUCGUGUCUUCCUUUUCAUGAUAAUCAAACAUUAAAAUGAGUGCAUUCUCUGCUCUCUGGAAAA